AGCGUACACGGUGGAUGCCUAGGCAGUCAGAGGCGAUGAAGGGCGUGCUAAUCUGCGAAAAGCGUCGGUAAGGUGAUAUGAACCGUUAUAACCGACGAUACCCGAAUGGGGAAACCCAGUGCAAUUCGUUGCACUAUUGCAUGGUGAAUACAUAGCCAUGCAAGGCGAACCGGGGGAACUGAAACAUCUAAGUACCCCGAGGAAAAGAAAUCAACCGAGAUUCCCCCAGUAGCGGCGAGCGAACGGGGAGGAGCCCAGAACCUGAAUCAGCAUAUGUGUUAGUGGAAGCGUCUGGAAAGUCGCACGGUACAGGGUGAUAGUCCCGUACACAAAAAUGCAUACGUUGUGAGUUCGAUGAGUAGGGCGGGACACGUGACAUCCUGUCUGAAUAUGGGGGGACCAUCCUCCAAGGCUAAAUACUCCUGACUGACCGAUAGUGAACCAGUACCGUGAGGGAAAGGCGAAAAGAACCCCGGCGAGGGGAGUGAAAUAGAACCUGAAACCGUGUACGUACAAGCAGUGGGAGCACCUUCGUGGUGUGACUGCGUACCUUUUGUAUAAUGGGUCAGCGACUUAUAUUUUGUAGCAAGGUUAACCGAAUAGGGGAGCCGUAGGGAAACCGAGUCUUAACUGGGCGAAUAGUUGCAAGGUAUAGACCCGAAACCCGGUGAUCUAGCCAUGGGCAGGUUGAAGGUUGGGUAACACUAACUGGAGGACCGAACCGACUAAUGUUGAAAAAUUAGCGGAUGACUUGUGGCUGGGGGUGAAAGGCCAAUCAAACCGGGAGAUAGCUGGUUCUCCCCGAAAGCUAUUUAGGUAGCGCCUCGUGAACUCAUCUUCGGGGGUAGAGCACUGUUUCGGCUAGGGGGUCAUCCCGACUUACCAAACCGAUGCAAACUCCGAAUACCGAAGAAUGUUAUCACGGGAGACACACGGCGGGUGCUAACGUCCGUCGUGAAGAGGGAAACAACCCAGACCGCCAGCUAAGGUCCCAAAGUCAUGGUUAAGUGGGAAACGAUGUGGGAAGGCACAGACAGCCAGGAUGUUGGCUUAGAAGCAGCCAUCAUUUAAAGAAAGCGUAAUAGCUCACUGGUCGAGUCGGCCUGCGCGGAAGAUGUAACGGGGCUAAACCAUGCACCGAAGCUGCGGCAGCGAACGUAUCACUUAAAACGCUUAACGUGACGGCAAAGCCGGCAUGUUCAAGCCACACUAAACGUUGAGUUGGCCGAUGUGCUGACAAACGAACAGGCGUUUUAAGGAUACGUUCGUUGGGUAGGGGAGCGUUCUGUAAGCCGUUGAAGGUGACCUGUGAGGGUUGCUGGAGGUAUCAGAAGUGCGAAUGCUGACAUAAGUAACGAUAAUGCGGGUGAAAAACCCGCACGCCGGAAGACCAAGGGUUCCUGUCCAACGUUAAUCGGGGCAGGGUGAGUCGACCCCUAAGGCGAGGCUGAAAAGCGUAGUCGAUGGGAAACAGGUUAAUAUUCCUGUACUUGGUGUUACUGCGAAGGGGGGACGGAGAAGGCUAGGCUAGCCGGGCGACGGUUGUCCCGGUUUAAGCAUGUAGGCGGAGUGACCAGGUAAAUCCGGUUGCUUAUCAACGCUGAGGUGUGAUGACGAGUCACUACGGUGAUGAAGUAGUUGAUGCCAUGCUUCCAGGAAAAGCCUCUAAGCAUCAGGUAACAUGAAAUCGUACCCCAAACCGACACAGGUGGUCAGGUAGAGAAUACUCAGGCGCUUGAGAGAACUCGGGUGAAGGAACUAGGCAAAAUGGUGCCGUAACUUCGGGAGAAGGCACGCUGGCAUUAGGUAAAGGGACUUGCUCCCGGCGCCGAAGCCAGUCGCAGAUACCAGCUGGCUGCAACUGUUUAAUAAAAACACAGCACUGUGCAAACACGAAAGUGGACGUAUACGGUGUGACGCCUGCCCGGUGCUGGAAGGUUAAUUGAUGGGGUCAGCCGCAAGGCGAAGCUCUUGAUCGAAGCCCCAGUAAACGGCGGCCGUAACUAUAACGGUCCUAAGGUAGCGAAAUUCCUUGUCGGGUAAGUUCCGACCUGCACGAAUGGCGUAAUGAUGGCCAGGCUGUCUCCACCCGAGACUCAGUGAAAUUGAACUCGCUGUGAAGAUGCAGUGUACCCGCGGCAAGACGGAAAGACCCCGUGAACCUUUACUAUAGCUUGACACUGAACAUUGAGCCUUGAUGUGUAGGAUAGGUGGGAGGCAUAGAAGUGUGGACGCCAGUCUGCAUGGAGCCAACCUUGAAAUACCACCCUUUAAUGUUUGAUGUUCUAACUCGGCCCCGUAAUCCGGGGUGAGGACAGUGUCUGGUGGGUAGUUUGACUGGGGCGGUCUCCUCCCAAAGAGUAACGGAGGAGCACGAAGGUUAGCUAAUCACGGUCGGACAUCGUGAGGUUAGUGCAAAGGCAUAAGCUAGCUUGACUGCGAGAGUGACGGCUCGAGCAGGUACGAAAGUAGGUCUUAGUGAUCCGGUGGUUCUGAAUGGAAGGGCCAUCGCUCAACGGAUAAAAGGUACUCCGGGGAUAACAGGCUGAUACCGCCCAAGAGUUCAUAUCGACGGCGGUGUUUGGCACCUCGAUGUCGGCUCAUCACAUCCUGGGGCUGAAGUAGGUCCCAAGGGUAUGGCUGUUCGCCAUUUAAAGUGGUACGCGAGCUGGGUUUAGAACGUCGUGAGACAGUUCGGUCCCUAUCUGCCGUGGGCGUUGGAAGAUUGAGAGGGGCUGCUCCUAGUACGAGAGGACCGGAGUGGACGAAUCACUGGUGUUCGGGUUGUCAUGCCAAUGGCAUUGCCCGGUAGCUAAAUUCGGAAGAGAUAACCGCUGAAAGCAUCUAAGCGGGAAACUUGCCUCGAGAUGAGUCUUCCCUGGGGCUUUAAGCCCCCUGAAGGAACGUUAAAGACGAUGACGUUGA
rnacentral:rRNA from 1 species